rnacentral:rRNA from 1 species
UCAGGACGAACGCUGGCGGCGUGCUUAACACAUGCAAGUCGAACGGGAGUAUUGAAGAAGCUUGCUUAGAGAUACUUUAGUGGCGGACGGGUGAGUAACGCGUGAGGAGCUGUCCUAUGCAGGGGGACAACAGCUGGAAACGGCUGCUAAUACCCCAUAAGCCGAGAGGUAAAAGGAUCAAUCCGGCAGAGGAGGUACUCGCGUCCUAUCAGCUAGUAGGUGAGGUAACGGCUCACCUAGGCGAAGACGGGUAGCCGGCCUGAGAGGGCGAACGGCCACACUGGAACUGAGAUACGGUCCAGACUCCUACGGGAGGCAGCAGUGGGGAAUAUUGGGCAAUGGGGGGAAAAACCCCCUGACCCAGCGACGCCGCGUGGGUGAAGAAAUCCUUCGGGAUGUAAAGCCCUGUUGUAUGGGAAGAGCGGAAGACGGUACCAUACGAGGAAGCCCCGGCAAACUACGUGCCAGCCGCCGC